CACGUAGGGCGCAAGCGUUGUCCGGAAUUAUUGGGCGUAAAGAGCUCGUAGGCGGUCUGUUGCGUCCGCUGUGAAAACUCGGGGCUUAACCCCGAGCCUGCAGCGGAUACGGGCAGACUAGAGGUAGGUAGGGGAGAAUGGAAUUCCCGGUGUAGCGGUGAAAUGCGCAGAUAUCGGGAGGAACACCGGUGGCGAAGGCGGAUCUCUGGGCCGAUACUGACGCUGAGGAGCGAAAGCGUGGGGAGCGAACAGG
rnacentral:rRNA from 1 species